rnacentral:tRNA from 1 species
GCCGGUGUGGCUCAAUGGUAGAGCAGCGCAUUCGUAAUGCGCAGGUUAGCGGUUCGAGUCCGCUCGCCGGCUCCA